rnacentral:rRNA from 1 species
UCGAGGAUCUUCGGCAAUGAGCGCAAGCUUGACCGAGCGACGCCGCGUGAGCGAUGAAGGCCUUCGGGUUGUAAAGCUCUUUAGUGGGGGAGAAAAGCCCGCAAGGGUGUGAUCUAUCCCAAAAAUAAGCACGGGCUAAGUUCGUGCCAGCAGCCGCGGUAAGACGAACCGUGCGAACGUUGUUCGGAAUCACUGGGCUUAAAGGGCGCGUAGGCGGGCUGUCAAGUCUGGGGUGAAAUCCCGCGGCUCAACCGUGGAACUGCCUUAGAUACUGACGGCCUCGAGGAAGGUAGGGGCAUGCGGAACUGUAGGUGGAGCGGUGAAAUGCGUUGAUAUCUACAGGAACUCCGGUGGCGAAAGCGGCGUGCUGGACCUUUUCUGACGCUGAGGCGCGAAAGCUAGGGGAGCAAACG